rnacentral:lncRNA from 1 species
GCAUUUUCCCCGAUUGUCAGUGAGGCUCGGCACGCAGACACCCCGCUCGAGCCGCAGCAGUCGCUCUACUCCCGGGAUCAGCACCUUUCCGCCAGGGCUGCUCUCAGUUAGCGAUGUCAGGCCAGAGCUCCUCUUGCAGAUGCACCUUUAAUUUGGCCUCCCUCAGAUGACUGGAAUCUUCUGCGGCUUGUCCAUAGUGUGAAUAAAAACUAAAUCACAUCUAUAAUUCUACUGAACUGGUCACACAGACGCUGCCAUAUAUGUCACAGUACACUGAAAAGGAGCCAGCAGCAAUGGACCAAGAAUCUGGUAAGGCUGUCUGGCCCAAACCAGCAGGAGGGUAUCAGACAAUUACAGGCAGGAGAUAUGGAAGAAGACAUGCUUAUGUCAGUUUUAAACCAUGUAUGACCAGACAUGAAAGAAGCUUAGGUCGGGCUGGUGAUGACUAUGAAGUGUUGGAACUAGAUGAUGUUCCAAAGGAAAAUUCCUCAGGUUCCAGUCCUUUGGAUCAAGUUGAUUCUUCUUUACCCAGUGAACCUAUAUUUGAAAAAAGUGAAACAGAAAUUCCCACUUGUGGUUC